rnacentral:lncRNA from 1 species
AUCCAAUCAAGACAUGCAGUCCAGGAACCUCCGUGGGCAUUACCGCAGUAUAUAAAUGAUGCUGAAGCGGAAACACGUUUUUUCAAGUUCCUGUAUUUUUAUGUGGAGUUGCUCACUGCCCAACGUAGAGGACUAGGAAUCAGGAGUCGGUGGCCGUAUGCUGGAGGCUGGAGCCGCGGGAGCGCGGCUCGCCUCGCUGCGGUUGUUGGCAGUGACGGAGAGAGAGCAGCGCGGCUGGAGCAGUUUCCCUUGCAAAGUUAUCAAAGUGCUCCCCAGAAGACAUUAGGUAUUUGCUUUCUAGUCUACAUACAAUGAAAAGGAAAAAACGUCAGUUCCUGAAGCUCUCUCAAAACAUCAACAGAUGGAAAGACGUGCCCAUGUCCUCCCCUCCCUCCACUCUGGGGGCUUGGAAAUGCUGCAGCAGGGAGCAGGCCCCAGGCUGGACCUGCCCUGUCCUCACGACGAGUGUGUGCAAAAGUGAACAAUAAAUCAUUUCAAAGAUGCAAGGAAGAAAAACCAAAACAUCAACAGAAUCUUCUUUCCCAUAAUCUUCAUGCACCUCCUGGUCCGGAUGAGUUUAUGUUCCCAUCUCCGAGCACAGGGAUUGAUUGUGAUGGCAUUUAUAGGACUGAGUGCCCCACACUCUGUGAUCCAGCAUGGAGUUAUGAUUUACAUCACCACAGGAAGAGUACAGAGGCUUCAACAGAAAAAAAGCAAAAACAACAGACCUUCAUUCAGCUUAGGAACAUAAUAAAUAGGACGAAGUUGAAUAAACGAAAUGGAGGGGAGUGAAGUAUUCCAGAUGGAAGAGGCAGUACGUGGCCAAGAGGAAACAGACCAUGUGCGCUGGAGAAAAAGGAUGGCCAGACUUGCAGAAACCUGGAAUUGGUGAUUGGCUUUAGAAGUGGAGAGACAAAAAAGGAGGCAUAGAAAGUGCCAACAUUUGGCUACACAGGGAAGAAAGACGUAAAAUAAUAAAAACAUUGGCAUCACCUGUAGACUCAAAUCCUGUGAGUGAAGGACCUGAGCAAUGAAGGAUGGAUUGAACUCGUGAUUAGCCUUCUUCAGCAUAUGUAAAAUGAUGUCUGCUUUUCUUCUCUAUUUGUCAUUUUACCGACUUUUUAUAUAUAGUAGUUUCCCCAUAUCCAUGGAGGAUGUAUCCCAAGACCCCCAGAGGAUGCUUGAAACCACAGAUAAUAACAAACUCUAUGUAUCCUAUGAUUUUUCCUGUACAUCCUUACCUAUCAUAAAGUGAGUGUAUAAACUAGGCACAGGAGAUUAAAAACAAUAACUCAUAAUAAAAUAGAACAAUUAGUACAACCUAA